rnacentral:rRNA from 1 species
GUAACCUGCCUGUAAGACUGGGAUAACUCCGGGAAACCGGGGCUAAUACCGGAUGGUUGUCUGAACCGCAUGGUUCAGACAUAAAAGGUGGCUUCGGCUACCACUUACAGAUGGACCCGCGGCGCAUUAGCUAGUUGGUGAGGUAACGGCUCACCAAGGCGACGAUGCGUAGCCGACCUGAGAGGGUGAUCGGCCACACUGGGACUGAGACACGGCCCAGACUCCUACGGGAGGCAGCAGUAGGGAAUCUUCCGCAAUGGACGAAAGUCUGACGGAGCAACGCCGCGUGAGUGAUGAAGGUUUUCGGAUCGUAAAGCUCUGUUGUUAGGGAAGAACAAGUGCCGUUCAAAUAGGGCGGCACCUUGACGGUACCUAACCAGAAAGCCACGGCUAACUACGUGCCAGCAGCCGCGGUAAUACGUAGGUGGCAAGCGUUGUCCGGAAUUAUUGGGCGUAAAGGGCUCGCAGGCGGUUUCUUAAGUCUGAUGUGAAAGCCCCCGGCUCAACCGGGGAGGGUCAUUGGAAACUGGGGAACUUGAGUGCAGAAGAGGAGAGUGGAAUUCCACGUGUAGCGGUGAAAUGCGUAGAGAUGUGGAGGAACACCAGUGGCGAAGGCGACUCUCUGGUCUGUAACUGACGCUGAGGAGCGAAAGCGUGGGGAGCGAACAGGAUUAGAUACCCUGGUAGUCCACGCCGUAUACGAUGAGUGCUAAGUGUUAGGGGGUUUCCGC